GUCCACGCCCUAAACGAUGUCAACUGGUUGUUGGGAAUUCACUUUCUCAGUAACGAAGCUAACGCGUGAAGUUGACCGCCUGGGGAGUACGGCCGCGAGGUUGAAACUCAAAGGAAUUGACGGGGACCCGCACAAGCGGUGGAUGAUGUGGUUUAAUUCGAUGCAACGCGAAAAACCUUACCCACCUUUGACAUGUACGGAAGUCACUAGAGAUAGCUUCGUGCUCGAAAGAGAGCCGUAACACAGGUGCUGCAUGGCUGUCGU
rnacentral:rRNA from 1 species